GAUGAACGCUGGCAGCGUGCUUAACACAUGCAAGUCGAACGAAGCGAUUUAGCGGAAGUUUUCGGAUGGAAGUUAAAUUGACUGAGUGGCGGACGGGUGAGUAACGCGUGGGUAACCUGCCUCACACUGGGGGACAACAGUUAGAAAUGACUGCUAAUACCGCAUAAGCGCACAGGACCGCAUGGUCCGGUGUGAAAAACUCCGGUGGUGUGAGAUGGACCCGCGUUUGAUUAGCUAGUUGGUGGGGUAACGGCCUACCAAGGCGACGAUCAAUAGCCGACCUGAGAGGGUGACCGGCCACAUUGGGACUGAGACACGGCCCAAACUCCUACGGGAGGCAGCAGUGGGGAAUAUUGCACAAUGGGGGAAACCCUGAUGCAGCGACGCCGCGUGAGUGAAGAAGUAUUUCGGUAUGUAAAGCUCUAUCAGCAGGGAAGAAAAUGACGGUACCUGACUAAGAAGCCCCGGCUAACUACGUGCCAGCCGCCGCAGUAA
rnacentral:rRNA from 1 species